UCGGGUAUGGUGUAACGGCUAACAUUGCCGCCUCUCAUACGAGUUCGUUUCAAGCGUUUCGCGGCAGCUCGGGGUUCGAUUCCCCGUACCCGAA